CCUAAAAACAAGAUGGCGGAAAUGUUAAUAGAUAUUUUUUUAGACCCAAGUCGCGGUCUCAGCAGGCUUGUAUUUAAUUCCCCCGCAUCCCCACCUUAACGAUAUACAUAAAUUAUCAGGUACGGCCAUUAAAAGCUAUAUGAGGCUUACCACACUCAGGGUGCGUUGUUGACUUUGCCUGCACGCCCACAGCGUGACACUUUUAAAUCUGUUCUGAGCCUAGCAUGGGUUUUCUGCUGCUCUGUAUUAUCUCUUUGAAAUCAGUGAGAUUAUAUUGGUACUGUAUCUCAAUAUCUUUGAGAAUCUGCCACAUUUUUAUUCAUAUCUGAUAUUUAUUAUAUACUAACUAGUAUCUUUGAAUUUGUUCCAUUAUACUUCUUUCAGAGAACGUAGUCUACUCGAUUGAUACUAGUAGUAAACUUCAUAUUGUGUACUAGUAUAUAUUAACUUUUGUAAUAACUAUAGAUAAGUUAGAGCUGGUUAUCAAGGCAGCUCUAUUAUGAGGAUGGCCAGGGGGUUGGGCAAACACCCCUCUAAACCCACUUUAUCCAAGGGUC
rnacentral:sRNA from 2 species